CUAUACCCAAACAACUUGGAGUUGCAGGUAGGCGGCAAGUGAGUUCAUCCCCAUGAGCAUAGACGGGCUAUGUGAUUGGGGUGAACGAACGCAGCCCCCCUGCAGCUUCAAGUAGGAAGGG
rnacentral:antisense_RNA from 1 species